rnacentral:lncRNA from 1 species
UUUUUUUUUUUUUUUUUUUUUUUAAACUUUUUAGGGAUGCCUAGGUGGCUCAGCGGUUGGGCAUCUGCCUUUGGCCUAGGGCUGGAACCUGGAGACCCCUGCAUGGAGCCUGCUUCUCCCUCUGCCUGUGUCUCUGCCUCUCUCUCUCUGUCUCUCUCUGUCUUUCAUGAAUGAAUAAAUAAAAUCUUAAAAAAAAAAACUUUUUAAAUGAAAACCUUUUUAAAAUUAUACAAGUAAUAUGUUAUGAUUGUGCAAAUACUACCACGAGAGAGUGAAAAUCCCUCUGUUCCCUCCUGCCAUUUAUCUUCUGAGACUUUCUUAUAUAUACAUACAAACAUACCCUCUCUGUUGGUUUUUCAAAAAUCUCCAUAAGGGAUAAUACUGUUCUGUAAUUUGCUUUUUUUUCACCCCGUGGUGUAUGAUGAACACCUCUGGGUUCAGCGUACACAGACCUAACUCACGUUUAGUGGCUGGAUAGAUCAUUCGUAUUCAGGUUUUACACAUAAAAUGCUAAAAAUAUAUAUUAGAGACGCAUUUACUUGCAUGUAUGCAAAUAUUUCCAUAGGCUUGACUCCUGGGUAAAAGGGAAUGCUGUCCCCUCCCGCCUUUUCCUACAUAACCUGUAAAUCAGUCAGGAUUUCGUAGAGGUAUAUGACCAUGCAAAUGGUUUGGGACGGAAAUCAUUAGUUUGUUUUUGUUCUCAGGUGUUUAUGGCAAUGGACAUUCCGGCAGUCCCUGGGCAGGGAUUGCUGUGGUGCUGGCACAGCCGGUACCGGGCACUCCAGACACACCGCUGAUUUCUCAAGGCUCAGGUCUUCCAGAUGUUUCCUCACUGAGUUUAUGAUCUAAUAAAGUAGCACACUAAGGCUAUGAGGUUGGAGAGAACAUAACUUAGUGUGCAAACGAUGAACACCUAGACUAUGGUUUUGGUUUACAAAGUACAGUUUUACUGUGACCUGUUUGUGCAGGUUGGACGGAGCCAGACUGGACAACUCCUGUCAGCUCCUUGAGGGUAUAGGGCCGGCUCUCUCACCUUCGCUGCUGUAUCACCAUCGCUGCUGUAUCACCAUCGCUGCCCAUGGCACCGGGCCUACAUAGGCACUCCAGAAAUGUGUUGAGAUAAAUGUCUAACUGGAGGUUAGAGGCCCUUCUGGGGCAUCAGCCAUGUGCCGUUGGUCUUCCUCAAAUACAACAGCAAGUUGCUAUUUCGGCUCCCCCCCCCCCCAAAGGUGGUAGAUGAACUUGCCGAGCUCUGACAACUUCCAUUCUCCUUCCUAAGUCAUUCAAAUUUCGUGUGAUCUUGUAUGACAAGUGACUUUGUAUUCAUCUGAUUUCACAGUUAAAGGCACGAGGACUAUACAACUUAUUGUUCAUGGAAGAACAUUUCAAGAUGGAAAAGAAGCAACAGGCAUAAACUGGGGCUCUCUGGGGGCAAACGGGGACGUAGGGUCAUGCUCACUGUAAGUAGAGCAAUAAAGGAGCUCAACUUAGCCAAAGUGAAUUCCAACUACAUAUCCUAAAACGAUAGGAGCAAUUUUGAGGAUAAGUUAAACGUGACAAGGGCCCAGCAGUGCCCUGUUCUAUUUCGGUUACACCACCAGAGACACAAACGCUAAAGGUAGCAAGACUGGCAGAUUCUAAGGGCACUACUACAAGAUUACUGAAAACAUAAAACAGUUUGCAUUGAUUGGAAGUAUAAAAUAGUUUUUAGAGGAUUAAGUUACAAGGUCUCCUGUUCCCCUUAUAACUUUAUACUUCUCUAUGUAACCAGGCAGGAUUCCUGCAGCCACAAAAUUCCCUGUACAGUACCCUAAUUGUAGUUGAAUUAACAGGAAGAUUAAAAAGUCUGGAGAACUGGACUCAACAUUAUUAGUUACUAUAUAAAGCUUUGGAGUAGAAACACAUUUGCCAAAAUGCUUUUCUAUUUAUACUCGGUAGGUCUAUUCUUUUAGUCACAUCACUGUAUGGGCAGGACUCCCACUUAAGGGAAUAAAUUCUAGUAAAACCCAUUACACCUCAAAAAAAAUUUUUUCAAAGAUUUUUAAAAAUUUAUUCAUGAGAGACACAGAGAGAGAGGCAGAGACACAGGUAGAGGGAGAAGCAGGCUCCAUGCAGGGAGCCUGACGUGGGACUCAAUCCUGGGUCUCCAGGAUCAGGCCCUGGGUUGAAGGCAGCGCUAAACUGCUGAGCCCCUGGGCUGUCCUAAGGGCAAAUUUUUAAUGACAGAAGUUCUGACUUCUGAGAAGAACAUUUGUCAUUAUACCAUAUAAAAUUACCUAGAGAAUUCUAUCUUACUUGUUUUGGAAAACCAGAGCAAAGAUUAGAAUAUGGGAAAAAAAAAUAGUGGAUGUUGUAAAAUAGGCUGAUAAAAAAUAUAUUUUUAUGAAUAAAAAGCACAAUAUAAGAUAUAUUCAUAUGUCUAUUUUAUCAUUGUCUCUUGCAUUGUUUUCUCAUUUUUAUAGGUACCUAUAUAUGAAAAGGUAAGUAUAUUUACAUGUUUUUUGAGAAAAAGCCUCUUAUGAAAUAUUAAUAUUUCUAAACUGUUAUCUGUCUCGGUUGUUCAUUGAAAUAUUUUAGAACCUCAACUGUUCUAUUCCUACAUUCCUUGACAAUCAGGGGAGUGUGCAGAGUGAAAUGGAGAAAAGACUUUUCAAUUCUCUGUUAAAGAUAAAUAUAAACCCUCCAACCAGAACACUUCAUUUCAAUUCAACAAAUAUUUACUGAGAACUAGGCAUGGCCUGGUGCUUUGCUAAGCACCAGAGAUAAAAAGUUGCAUACCAGCAAUAUCUAAAAAUUAGCUCAUGGAUAUCAACAACUAUAUGCACUAUCAUUAUUGACAUAUGCAUGUGGUACAAUUCCCACACUUGCCCUACUAUCAUUAAUGUGCAAAAUCCCUCUCCCAAUCAUUUCUGUCUUGUGAUUAUUAAUUCUACUUAAGAACCCACAGACACAGUUCUGCAAAAAUGGUAUCAAAUAUAUAUCUUAAGUAGAUUUCAAACUUCAGCAAAUUCAAAUGUACAGCUAUACAUGGUUGUUGUAUCAGUUUAUAUUGGAAUACUAUACUGAACUGCAGCUGAGUAUUUCCUAUGCCCCUUAGUACAAAAUGUUCAAGAGAUAACUUAAAACUGGGACUGUUUUGUUGUUGUUCAUUCACUUUAUUCCUUAGUUAAGAGAUACUGAAUGCAAAUGCCUUCAGCUUAAAAUUUUAAAAAGAUGUGGUUUUCUUAUAUAUUUAAAUUGGCUACUAAACGUCAGCCAAAUACAAUUUUGAAAGCAAUUUCCCAAAUGUCACAUGCAGCUGUCAAAUGCAGCUUAAAAAAAAUGAGAAAGAUGACAAAGACAAGGCUUUGCAGGACUCAGCACACACAUAAGCUCUCAGAGGCUUUUAGCUGGAUUGAAAGGACAAAUUUAUCUGGGGAGAAGUGGGCACACAGAGGAAGCUGGUCAGGGUUCACAUUAUUUUAAAUUCCUGUAACUAAAAUCUCCCUACAAAUUAGGUCAAAACUUAAUCUUUAAUUGCUAGAGAACUGGAACAUUUUCUAGACUAGAAGAACUCAUUGGGUAGGUAUUAAUCCCAUAAAUGAACAGAACAUGACAUUCCUUUAGUUUGACAAACUUAAAUCAAUGAUCUUGAAUAAAAAUAGAUCCUACAUUUCAUAGUCGACCAACUGUCAUCUUUCUAAAAUCUUUGCAGCUAAGAACACAGCAGAAGUGAAAUCAGAUGGAAAAGAUGGUUGUGUGUGACAGAGCUGAAAGAAAAUAAAAAUAACUUCAAACAUAAUUUGGUUGAUAAAAUAUUUUUCAACAAUGGAUUCCAUUCUUUAUUGAUGUCGCUCAUUUUAAAACUGUCUGUCGUGAAUAGAUGGUUGCUGAGCCCAGACCAACUUCUGGGGCCCCCUCUAAUUCUUUCUCUAAGUUGUCACGUGCGUAAGGCGGCUUGAGCUCAUUUAUCUCCUGCUGAGAGCUACAGAUGCAAGGAGGGGACCUAAGCAUUUCCGAAGGGAUCAAAGUGCACUAUUUUAAUUAGCAAGAUAAAAUAUUAUUUUAGGGAAAGUGAACAAAGGCUAAAUCUGAAAAGAAAAGUGACAGAGUGUGGAAUCUGAACACACAGUGCAGGGAUCUGAAUAGAAAGUCCCAUCACGGAUAGUGAAGGAAGGAAGAGAAGACAAGCUCUCAGUAACUUCCUGGCAUGGCGUUGGCUACAAGUCAUCUACAUCCAGAACACGGGACGUGGCUGUUAAAGAACACAGGAUUUAUCAUUAGACACCCUCGAGUUAGGACUCCUCUUUUACUCAAAGUAGCUGUAUAACUUGAGCUAACGCACAUGUUUUGU